CCAACCUUAUCUCAUCAGGGCCUACUUGAACCAAGUGCCCGAUCUUCCUUACCCGCUGGGUAUCCAGCCUUAGCGUGCACCAACUACAACUUCAACUUUCCACCCAUCUCCACGGGGAAAUUAAUUUUGAAAAAACAGGCCACUGCCACCUCAGCAUUAUGAUCUUUUCCCUCUGCUGACCAAUCUGUAUUUUGUGAACUUCACAAGAGGAAUGAGAACAAUCUGGCUGCUGUGUUACAAGUGGGUGGGGGUUGCAGGGAGAAGAGAGAAGAGGAUCAGGGAGACCAUUUAAGAUGCUCUGGUGAUAUUACAGUUGAAAGAGAUGUCUAAUCAAUAAAUAUCGAAUGAG